CGCCAGACUCCUACGGGAGGCAGCAGUGGGGAAUAUUGCACAAUGGGGGAAACCCUGAUGCAGCGACGCCGCGUGAGCGAUGAAGUAUUUCGGUAUGUAAAGCUCUAUCAGCAGGGAAGAAGAUGACGGUACCUGACUAAGAAGCCCCGGCUAACUACGUGCCAGCAGCCGCGGUAAUACGUAGGGGGCAAGCGUUAUCCGGAUUUACUGGGUGUAAAGGGAGCGUAGACGGCGGCGCAAGCCAGAUGUGAAAGCCCGGGGCUCAACUCCGGGACUGCAUUUGGAACUGUGUGGCUGGAGUGUCGGAGAGGCAGGCGGAAUUCCUAGUGUAGCGGUGAAAUGCGUAGAUAUUAGGAGGAACACCAGUGGCGAAGGCGGCUUACUGGACUGUAACUGACGUUGAGGCUCGAAAGCGUGGGGAGCAAACAGGAUUAGAUACCCUCGUAA
rnacentral:rRNA from 1 species